rnacentral:rRNA from 1 species
CUUUAAUGGAGAGUUUGAUCCUGGCUCAGGACGAACGCUGGCGGCGUGCCUAAUACAUGCAAGUCGAGCGGGGUUAAUUAGAAGCUUGCUUCUAACUAACCUAGCGGCGGACGGGUGAGUAACACGUAGGCAACCUGCCCACAAGACAGGGAUAACUACCGGAAACGGUAGCUAAUACCCGAUACAUCCUUUUCCUGCAUGGGAGAAGGAGGAAAGGCGGAGCAAUCUGUCACUUGUGGAUGGGCCUGCGGCGCAUUAGCUAGUUGGUGGGGUAAAGGCCUACCAAGG